CUUAUUCUCUAUAUUACCCUCCUAUUCUGCACGCUUUACUUGCAUUAAUUGCACAUGUUUGAACUCAUUACAUGUAUAAAAGACACGUGUCCACACACUAAAUCAAUCACACUCCAACCUACCAUGGCCAAGACCAAAGACCUGUUUAAGGACACCAGGGACAACAUUGUAGACCUGCACAAGGCUGGGAUGGGCUACAGGAUAACAGACAAGCAGCUUGGUGAGAAGGCAACAACUGUUGCUGUAAUUAUUAGAAAAUGAAAGAAACACAAGAUAAACUGUCAAUCUUCCUCGGUCUGGGACUCCAUGCAAGAGCUCACCUCUUGAAAUAAGGAUGAUGCUGCGAAAGCCCAGAAAUACAUGGGAGGACCUGGUCAGUGACAUGAAGAG